rnacentral:tRNA from 1 species
UUGACUAAAGCCAAAUAAGAGGCUUAUCACUGUUACUGAUUAAACUGGUUAACCCUGGUCAUU